CACUGAUAAAGUGGAUGGGCAUAAAAUACUAUCUAUCUCUGUUAUCCCAGACACAAAGGUAGUGUCUGCACAAGGAACAGGCUGCUACUAUCCCAGGGAACCAUGAGCACAGAACUGGCAGCAGUUAUUUGAAUAAGGACCUAUCUGGUAGGAAGAAGAGCAUGACUUCAAAAUAAGGCGGUAUCUAAGAAUCAGACUUUGGAAACUGUUGAGAGAAAAAAUGAUAACAUUCAAGAGGGAAGUUUUAAGCCAAAGAUCCCGGAGCAAAAAGGAGAGAAAGGAGAUGUAAAGAAUCAAAUCACAGAAAGACAGGGUGGAAGGAAGCUUAAGAUGCCGCCCAGACCUUACUGGGCCGUCCUCACUGCCACCAGCAGCCUUGUUGCCGUCUGGAAGCUCAUAGAAGGAGAUUUUUCCUCCUUUGGAAUUUUAGG
rnacentral:lncRNA from 1 species